UUAAUGACCAGAUCAUAUAUAAAUUAUAUAUUUGAAAUUAUUAAAUCAUUUGCGUUUUGAAAAAUGUUUAAGCAAAUGUUUACGCUACUAUCAUUAAUCCUUUUAGUAGUUGAUUUCCAAACGGUGAAAUGUUUAAACUCAGAAACAUCUAAACAUGAUGUUAAAAACAUCAUGCCAGUAAAUUGUGAAUGGAUUAGACACGAUGGAAAAUGUUUUAAUAAAAAUGAAAAACAUUUAAGAGAUCCCCAUAGAAAUGUGCAACCAUUUAAAAAGUUGUCUGCUGCUAAAGCUGAAAACAAAGUAAAAGAAUUAGAAAUUGAAUUUCCCUGGUUUAUAAAAUGGUUACCAACAUUUACCAACUUACAAUAACUAAAAUUCUGUUCAAUAUAUUCAAUAAAAUUCUGUACGGAUUAUAAAUAAAAACAAGUAAGAAAGUACGGUCGGGCUUGACCCUACACUAAGUACAAGAGCAAAAA